rnacentral:rRNA from 1 species
UACGGGAGGCAGCAGUGGGGAAUAUUGCACAAUGGGCGCAAGCCUGAUGCAGCCAUGCCGCGUGUAUGAAAAAGGCCUUCGGGUUGUAAAGUACUUUCAGUCGUGAGGAAGGUGUUAAGGUUAAUAACCUUAGCAAUUGACGUUAGCGACAGAAGAAGCACCGGCUAACUCCGUGCCAGCAGCCGCGGUAAUACGGAGGGUGCUAGCGUUAAUCAGAAUUACUGGGCGUAAAGAGCACGUAGGUGGUUUUUUUAAGUCAGAUGUGAAAUCCCUGGGCUUAACCUGGAACUGCAUUUUGAAACUGAAAUACUAGAGUAUCGUAGAGGGAGGUAGAAUUCUAGGUGUAGCGGUGAAAUGCGUAGAGAUGUGGAGGAAUACCGGUGGCGAAGGCGGCCCCUGGACAAAGACUGACGCUCAUGUGCGAAAGCGUGGGGAGCAAACG